rnacentral:rRNA from 1 species
GACGAACGCUGGCGGCGUGCUUAACACAUGCAAGUCGAACGGAAAGGCCCUGCUUUUGUGGGGUGCUCGAGUGGCGAACGGGUGAGUAACACGUGAGUAACCUGCCCUUGACUUUGGGAUAACUUCAGGAAACUGGGGCUAAUACCGGAUAGGAGCUCCUGCUGCAUGGUGGGGGUUGGAAAGUUUCGGCGGUUGGGGAUGGACUCGCGGCUUAUCAGCUUGUUGGUGGGGUAGUUGCUUACCAAGGCUUUGACGGGUAGCCGGCCUGAGAGGGUGACCGGCCACAUUGGGCCUGAGAUACGGCCCAGACUCCUACGGGAGGCAGCGGUGGGGAGUAUUACACAAUGGGCGGAAGCCUGAUGCAGCAACGCCGCGUGCGGGAUGACGGCCUUCGGGUUGUAAACCGCUUUCGCCUGUGACGAAGAGUGAGUGACGGUAAUGGGUAAAGAAGCACCGGCUAACUACGUG